rnacentral:rRNA from 1 species
UUAAAUUGAAGAGUUUGAUCAUGGCUCAGAUUGAACGCUGGCGGCAGGCCUAACACAUGCAAGUCGAACGGUAACAGGAAGCAGCUUGCUGCUUUGCUGACGAGUGGCGGACGGGUGAGUAAUGUCUGGGAAACUGCCCGAUGGAGGGGGAUAACUACUGGAAACGGUAGCUAAUACCGCAUAACGUCGCAAGACCAAAGAGGGGGACCUUAGGGCCUCUUGCCAUCGGAUGUGCCCAGAUGGGAUUAGCUAGUAGGUGGGGUAACGGCUCACCUAGGCGACGAUCCCUAGCUGGUCUGAGAGGAUGACCAGCCACUCAGGAACAGAGAUAGGGUCUAG